AUGGCGGGGAACUCCUUCGUCGGGAAGCAGCAGGUGGCCAAGCAGCAGCCCCUGCGCCGCCUCAUCUGCAUAGAAGUCGCCCCCUCCAUACUGUUUAAAGAAGCCUCCAUCGAGUGUCCCUGCAGAACCACUGUUGCCCGCCUCUCCGUGCCGCACCCGACAAGCAUUGCGUUGCUGCUGUGUCCCACUGGCUCCACCACGUUGAAGAAAUUUGACAAGAAGGACGAGGAGUCAAGUGGAGGCUCCAACCCACUCCAGCACCUUGAGAAGACAGCCAUACUCCAAGAGGCCCGUGCAUUUAAUGAAACUCCCAUCAAUCCUCGGAAAUGUGCCCACAUCCUCACCAAGAUCCUUUAUCUCAUAAACCAUGGGGAGCAUCUGGGGACCAUGGAAGCGACCGAAGCCUUCUUUGCCAUGACCAAGCUCUUUCAGUCCAAUGAUCUCACACUCUGUCGGAUGUGCUACGUGACCAUCAGGGAGAUGUCUUGCAUCGCAGAGGAUGUCAUCAUUGUCACCAGCAGCCUAAGAAAAGACGUAACUGGGAAAGGAGACAACUAUCAGGGCCCAGCUGUGCAAGCCCUCUGCCAGACCACCGACAGCACCAUGCUGCGUGCUACUGAGCGCUGCAUGAAACAGGCCAUUGUAGACAAGGUGCCCAUGUCUGCAGCUCUGCCCUGUGUCUUCCUUGCACCUGCUGAAAUGCAGCUUUCACAUGGUCAAGUGCUGGGUGAAUGAGGCUCAGGAGGUGGCAUCCAGUGAUAACAUCAUGGUCCAGCACCACGCACUAGGGCUCCUGUACCACGUGUGUAAGAAUGACCGCCUGGCUGUCAAUAAGAUGACCAGCAAGGUCACCCGGCAUGGCCUUAAGUCUUCCUUUGCCUACUGCAUGAUGAUCCAGGUGGCCAGCAAGUAGCUGGAAGAGGAGGAUGGCAGCCAUGACAGUCCACUGACUUCAUCGAGCACUGCUUGUGCAACAGGCAUGAGAUGGUGGUGUGCGAAGCUGCCUCGGCCAUCGUCAACCUGCCAGGCUGCAGUGCCAAGGAGCUGCACCAGCUGUGCCAGUGCUCCGGCUGUUCUGCAGCUCACCCAAGCCUACUCUCCAUUAUGCGGCUGUUCGCACCCUCAAUAAGGUUGCCAUGAAGCAUCCGUCAGCUGUGAUAGCUUGCAGGCUGGAUCUGGAGAACCUGGUCACAGAUUCAAACCGCAGCAUUGCCACGCUGGCUGUCACCACACUCCUUAAGACAGGCAGUGAGAGCAGCAUCGACCGCCUUAUGAAGCAGGUGUCCUCCUUCGUGUCAGAGAUCUCGGAUGAACUCAGCGUGGUGGUUGUCCAGGCCAUCAGUGCCCUGUGUCGGAAGCAUCCUCACAAACACGCCAGCCUCAUGAACUUCCUGCUCACCAUGCUGCGGGAAGAGGGUGGCUUUGAGUACAAGCGCGUCAUUGGGGACUGCAUCGUCAGCAUCACUAAGAACUCAGGGAGCAAGGAGACAGGGCUGUCACAUCUGUGCGAGUUCAUUGAGGACUGCAAGGUCACAGUGCUGGCCACCCGUAUUCUGCAUCUCCUGGGCCAGGAGGGACCCAAGACCACCAACCCUCAAAGUACAUCUGCUUCAUCUAUAACGGAGCGGUCUUGGGGCAUGAGGAGGUCCGGGCAGGUGCUGAGAGUGCUCUGGCCAAGUCUGGAGCACAGAAUGAAGACAUUCCCCAGUAUCGUGGUGUUGCUGAAGAGGUAUGUGAUGGAUGAUGACAAUGAAAUAAGGGACUGAGCCACCUUGUCUAAAAGUCCUGGAGUGAAGCAGAAGGCCCUCAAUGCGGGCUAUGUCCUAAAUGGUCUGACUGUGUCCAUCCUGGUCUGGAGAGGGCUCUGCAUCAGUACACACUAGAACCAUCAGAGAAAGCUUUGACCUCAAGUCUGUGCCCCUAGCCACUGCACCCAUGGCAGGGCAGAGAAUGGAAAGCAGCCCCAUCACUGCAGACAGCCUGAUAAAGUGGCAGCUACCAGGAGAUCUUCCAGGAGCAGUUGGCGGCAGUGCCUGAGUUCCAGGGACCUGGGCCCGUCUUAAAGUCCUCGCCUGAGUCGAUGGCCCUCACUGAGUCAGAGACCAAGUAUGUCAUCGGCUGCACCAAACACGCCUUCACUGACCACAUGGUGCUUCAGUUUGACUGCAGGAACACAUCCAGUGACCAGACCCCAGAGAAUGCCACAGUGCAGAUGAGCCCACUGAGGCCUAUGAGGGGCUCUGUUAUGUGCCUGCCCAGCGCUUGCCCUACAACCAGCCUGGGACCUGCACACUGGUGCACUGCCCAAAGGAGACCCCACAGCUGUGGCCUGCACAUUCAGCCGCAUGCUGAAGUUCACUGUCAAGGACUGUGCUCCCACCACUGGGGAGACCGACGACGAAGGCUAUGAGGAUGAGUAUGUGCUGGAAAGUCUGGAAGUUACUGUAGCUGAUCACAUUCAAAAGGUCAUGAAACGACUUCGAAGCAGCCUGGGGUGAGGUGGGGGAUGAAUUUGGGAAGGAGGAAAUGUUCACCUUGUCUACCAUCAAGAUACGUGGAGAGGCUGUGGAUAACAUCGUGAAGUUCUUGGGAAUGCACCCUUGUGAGAGGUCAGACAAGGUGCUGGAUGACAAGAACACCCACACGUUGCUCCUGGCUGGUGUGUUCUGGGGUGGUCGUGACAUCCUGGUGCACUCUCAGCUGCUGCUUUUGGACACAGUGACAAUGCAAGCGACAGCCAGAAGUUUGGAGGAGCUGCCAGUAGACAUCAUUUUGGCAUCUGUGGGCUAA